UACAGAGACUGCAAGCGUUAUUCGGAUUCACUGGGCGGAAAGGGUGCGCAGGCGGCCGAGUGUGUGAGGCGUGAAAGCCCGGGGCUUAACCCCGGAAUUGCACCUCAAACUACACGGCUAGAGCAUUGGAGAGGGUAGCAGAAUUCAUGGUGUAGCAGUGAAAUGCGUAGAUAUCAUGAGGAAUACCAGAGGCGAAGGCGGCUACCUGGACAAUUGCUGACGCUCAGGCACGAAAGCGUGGGGAGCAAAAGGG
rnacentral:rRNA from 1 species